rnacentral:tRNA from 2 species
GGGGCUGUAGCUCAGUGGCAGAGUGCUUGCCUAGCAUGCAUGAGGCACUAGGUUUGAUCCUCAGCACCA